UUGUGAUGAGAUCUAAACUGAAAAAGCUGGAAUUACCGUCAGAUGGUUCAGUGCUGACUUUCGGUUUCCUGAAC
ensembl:snoRNA Small nucleolar RNA SNORD65